ACUCCUACGGGAGGCAGCAGUAAGGAAUAUUGGACAAUGGAGGCAACUCUGAUCCAGCCAUGCCGCGUGAAGGAAUAAGGCCCUAUGGGUUGUAAACUUCUUUUAGACGGGACAAAACCCCUUUACGUGUAAAGGGUUGAUGGUACUGUCAGAAUAAGCAUCGGCUAACUUCGUGCCAGCAGCCGCGGUAAUACGAAGGAUGCAAGCGUUAUCCGGAAUUAUUGGGUUUAAAGGGUGCGUAGGCGGACUGAUAAGUCAGUGGUGAAAGCCUGCAGCUUAACUGCAGAAUUGCCGUUGAUACUGUCAGUCUUGAGUACAGUUGAGGUAGGCGGAAUGUGUCAUGUAGCGGUGAAAUGCUUAGAUAUGACACAGAACACCGAUUGCGAAGGCAGCUUGCUAAGCUGUAACUGACGCUGAGGCACGAAAGCGUGGGGAGCAAACAGGAUUAGAUACCCUGGUAGUC
rnacentral:rRNA from 1 species